AUUGAACACUGGCGGCAGGCCUAACACAUGCAAGUCGAGCGGAGCGGCGGACGGAUGAGUAAUGCCUAGGAAUCUGCCUUGUCGUGGUGGAUACCGUACGGAAACGGGCGCUAAUAUCGCAUACUAUCAGAUUAGCCUAGGUCGGUUUAGCUAGUUGGUGGGUAAAGGCCUACAAGGCCGACGAUCCGUACCUGGUCUGAGAGGAUGAUCAGUCAAACGGGAACUGAGACACGGCCCAUACGCACACGGGAGGCAGCAGUGGGGAAUAUGGGACAAUGGGCGAAAGCCUGAUCCAGCCAGGCCGCGUGUGUGAAGAAGGUCUUCGGAUUGUAAAGCACUUUAAGUUGGGAGGCGUUACCAACAGAAUAAGCACCGGCUAACUUCGUGCCAGCAGCCGCGGUAAUC
rnacentral:rRNA from 1 species